GACGAACGCUGGCGGCGUGCCUAAUACAUGCAAGUAGAACGCUGAAGAGAGGAGCUUGCUCUUCUUGGAUGAGUUGCGAACGGGUGAGUAACGCGUAGGUAACCUGCCUUGUAGCGGGGGAUAACUAUUGGAAACGAUAGCUAAUACCGCAUAACAAUGGAUGACACAUGUCAUUUAUUUGAAAGGGGCAAUUGCUCCACUACAAGAUGGACCUGCGUUGUAUUAGCUAGUAGGUGAGGUAAUGGCUCACCUAGGCGACGAUACAUAGCCGACCUGAGAGGGGGAUCGGCCACCCUGGGAAUUAGACCAGGCCCGGACCCCCACGGGGGGCAGCGGGGGGGAAACUUCGGCAAUGGGGGCAACCCUGACCGGGCAACGCCGCGGGGGGGAAGAAGGUGUUGGGAUCGUAAAGCUUUGUUGUAAGGGGAGAACGGGUGGGAGGGGGGAAAGUUCAAACUGUGACGGUGGUUUACCAAAAAGGGACGGCUAACUACGU
rnacentral:rRNA from 1 species